GACGAACGCUGGCGGCGUGCUUAACACAUGCAAGUCGAACGGAAAGGCCCUGCUUUUGUGGGGUGCUCGAGUGGCGAACGGGUGGGUAACACGUGAGUAACCUGCCCUUGACUUUGGGAUAACUUCAGGAAACUGGGGCUAAUACCGGAUAGGAGCUCCUGCUGCAUGGUGGGGGUUGGAAAGUUUCGGCGGUUGGGGAUGGACUCGCGGCUUACCAGCUUGUUGGUGGGGUAGUGGCUUACCAAGGCUUUGACGGGUAGCCGGCCUGAGAGGGUGACCGGCCACAUUGGGACUGAGAUACGGCCCAGACUCCUACGGGAGGCAGCAGUGGGGAAUAUUGCACAAUGGGCGGAAGCCUGAUGCAGCAACGCCGCGUGCGGGAUGACGGCCUUCGGGUUGUAAACCGCUUUCGCCUGUGACGAAGCGUGAGUGACGGUAAUGGGUAAAGAAGCACCGGCUAACUACGUG
rnacentral:rRNA from 1 species